rnacentral:lncRNA from 1 species
AACAUUCCAUUUCAGUUCUGGGUUUAAUAUUGAUGACUUAAAUUCCUGAAAUAUCCAUAGUAGACAGAAUGAGAUUGUGGUGGUUUUACUUGGGUGGGCGGCUGAGCUCCACCACAACCGCUCUCUCACUCUCCCUCCUCAAAGUGAAAGGGGGAGAAAAAUACAAUGCAAAGGGCCCAAGGGUUGAGAUAAGGACAGGGAGAUCGCUCGACAAUUAUCGUAACAGGCAAAACAGACUCAGCAUAGGGAGAUAGUAAGAUUUAUUGCCUAUUACUAACAAGCUAGAGAAGUGAGAAACAAAGGAAAAAAAAAAAAACAAAAAUGCCUUACCCCUAUCCACCUUCUUCCAGCUCCUCCCCCCGAGCAGCACAGGGGAAUGGAGGAGUGGGGGUUGCGGUCAGUCUAUGGCACUUCAUCUCCACUGCUCCUUCUCAGUCACUCUUGUCCGGUGUGCUGUGGGGGCCCUCCCACGGGAUGCAGUCCUUGCCGAACUGAUCCAGCGUGGGUUUCCCACAGGCAGCAGCUCCUCAAAAACUGCUCCAGAUAUGGGUCCGUAACAUGGGAUCCAUCUGUCAGGAGCAAAAUGCUCCAGCACGGGUCCCCCACAGGCAGCAGCUCCUGCCAGGUCACCUGCUCCUGCGUGGUCUCCUCUCCACAGGCUACAGCUCCCGUCCAGGGCCUCCUCUGGCAGGGGUCCUCCACAGGCUGCAGCCUCCGUCACUGCAGGUCCUCCUGCUCCACCGUGGUCUCCUCCAUGGGCUGCAGCAUGGAAUCCUGCUCCACCGUGGUACUGCAUGGGCUUGCAGGGGGACAGCCUGCUUCACCAUGGUCCUCACCACAGGCCACAUGGAACUUCUGCUCCGGCGCCUGGAGCACCUCUCUCCCUCCUUCUUCAUCGACCUUGGCACCUGCAAGGCUGUUUCUCACUACCCACGCUCUCCCAGCUGCUGUGUGGCAGCUUUUUUUUUUGUUUUGUUUUUUCUUUUUUUUUUCCCCUUUCUUAAAUAUGCUCUCACAGAGGUGCAAGAAACAUCACUUAUUGGCUCCGCUCUGGUCAGCAGCGAGGCCCUUACCUAACAUGGAGCAGCUUCUAGAUUCUUCUCACAGAAGCCACCCUUAUGGCCCCCUGCUACCAAAACCUUGCCACGUAAACCCACUACGGGGAACAGAGGAAAAAAUAAAUAAUAAUAAUCACAUCUCAUUUCAUAAUUUCUCCAAAUGGAUUUUAUUGAA